rnacentral:tRNA from 1 species
GGCCUUAUAAUCAAAAUUUAUGAUUUCAAAUUGCAAAUUUGACAGUGGGACGCCCUAAGGCUU